GAAGAUGAGUAUGUGAAUGAUGAUGAUGAUAAUGAUGAUGAAGAAGAAGAUGC
rnacentral:sRNA from 1 species